UGUCGCUAGGAGCCCCGAGAGAGCAAGGCCUACACCGCCCGGCCGGAGCCCCGGCCUCGAUUGCACCACUUUCCCCCACCCCAGCGGGGAGACCCUGGAGGCAAGUAGGCCCAGCUGAACCGGGUGGGGGAGGAGGCGAGCAGCCCUGCAACAGGAGCCGCGCGGGUGAAGGGGGUCCUGGAGCCCGCCUCCCGCCAGUAGGUCUCCCGGGGGGUCCUCCUGAAGCCCUGCCUCCCGAACAGCGCAUCCAAGUUCAGGCUGGUUGGUGUCCCUAGGUCGCUAGAGCCCUCGCCACUCUCGGAACCAUAAUAAAAACAAGACGCUGAAGAGGCUACCACUGCGUGCUGGGAGAUGGGAUUGGGCCCUGAGAGAGCCAGGGGGAGGGGACGCCUCUCUGCUACCCGUCACCACCCGCCCGACCCCGCUGGCCCCACGGUGUCCGGCUCUGUCACCGCCGGCCUCCGGCUCCGAGGCCCCUUUUCUCCAUGACACCGAGGACUGGGGCUCGAGCUUCGCCUGGCCUUUGGCGAGCCUUGGUCUCCCCCCCCCCCCCGGCCAGCCCUCCCCCCAGUGCCCCCCGCACCUUUUAAACUACGCAGAGGAAGAGUUUGCCAACCAACUUAGUCAAACCGUAACCUCGUCCCCCUCCCCGACCCACACUGGUGGGGCAGGCAUCUGGAGGGACCACUUUGCACUUGGGAUAAAGCACAUUAAAGACCUGUCAACCA
rnacentral:lncRNA from 1 species